rnacentral:rRNA from 1 species
GUCCUAGCCGUAAACGUUGGAUGCUAGGUGUGGGGGGACAUCGACCCCUUCCGUGCCGAAGCUAACGCAUUAAGCAUCCCGCCUGGGGAGUACGGCCGCAAGGCUAAAACUCAAAGGAAUUGACGGGGGCCCGCACAAGCGGCGGAGCAUGUGGCUUAAUUCGAUGCAACGCGAAGAACCUUACCUGGGCUUGACAUGCGGGGUGAAACCGUGGAAACACGGUGCUCUUCGGAGCCCGCACAGGUGGUGCAUGGCUGUCGU